rnacentral:rRNA from 1 species
GUGGAUUAGAUACCCGAGUAGUCCACGCCGUAAACGAUGGGUACUAGGUGUGGGAGGUGUCGACUCCUCCCGUGCCGUCGCUAACGCACUAAGUACCCCGCCUGGGGAGUACGGCCGCAAGGCUAAAACUCAAAGGAAUUGACGGGGGCCCGCACAAGCAGCGGAGCAUGUGGUUUAAUUCGACGCAACGCGAAGAACCUUACCUGGGCUUGACAUGUUGGUGACCGCCGUGGAAACACGGUUUUCCUUCGGGACACCAUCACAGGUGGUGCAUGGUCGUCGUCAACU